rnacentral:rRNA from 1 species
AUUGAAGAAGCUUGCUUCUGAUUGAUAACAUUUGAGUGAGUGGCGGACGGGUGAGUAACACGUGGGUAACCUGCCCUAAAGUGGGGGAUAACAUUUGGAAACAGAUGCUAAUACCGCAUAAAACCUAGCACCGCAUGGUGCAAGGUUGAAAGAUGGUUUCGGCUAUCACUUUAGGAUGGACCCGCGGUGCAUUAGUUAGUUGGUGAGGUAAAGGCUCACCAAGACCGUGAUGCAUAGCCGACCUGAGAGGGUAAUCGGCCACACUGGGACUGAGACACGGCCCAGACUCCUACGGGAGGCAGCAGUAGGGAAUCUUCCACAAUGGACGAAAGUCUGAUGGAGCAACGCCGCGUGAGUGAAGAAGGUUUUCGGAUCGUAAAACUCUGUUGUUGGAGAAGAACGUAUUUGAUAGUAACUGAUCAGGUAGUGACGGUAUCCAACCAGAAAGCCACGGCUAACUACGUGCCAGCAGCCGCGGUAAUACGUAGGUGGCAAGCGUUGUCCGGAUUUAUUGGGCGUAAAGCGAGCGCAGGCGGUUUCUUAAGUCUGAUGUGAAAGCCUUCGGCUCAACCGAAGAAGUGCAUCGGAAACUGGGAAACUUGAGUGCAGAAGAGGACAGUGGA